rnacentral:rRNA from 1 species
GAUGAACGCUGGCGGCGUGCCUAAUACAUGCAAGUCGAGCGAACAGACGAGGAGCUUGCUCCUCUGACGUUAGCGGCGGACGGGUGAGUAACACGUGGAUAACCUACCUAUAAGACUGGGAUAACUUCGGGAUACCGGAGCUAAUACCGGAUAACAUGUUGAACCGCAUGGUUCAACAGUGAAAGACGGUCUUGCUGUCACUUAUAGAUGGAUCCGCGCCGCAUUAGCUAGUUGGUAAGGUAACGGCUUACCAAGGCAACGAUGCGUAGCCGACCUGAGAGGGUGAUCGGCCACACUGGAACUGAGACACGGUCCAGACUCCUACGGGAGGCAGCAGUAGGGAAUCUUCCGCAAUGGGCGAAAGCCUGACGGAGCAACGCCGCGUGAGUGAUGAAGGUCUUCGGAUCGUAAAACUCUGUUAUUAGGGAAGAACAAAUGUGUAAGUAACUAUGCACGUCUUGACGGUACCUAAUCAGAAAGCCACGGCUAACUACGUG